AGUGAACGCUGGCGGUAGGCCUAACACAUGCCAGUCGAACGGCAGCACAGUAAGAGCUUGCUCUUACGGGUGGCGAGUGGCGGACGGGUGAGGAAUACAUCGGAAUCUACUUUUUCGUGGGGGAUAACGUAGGGAAACUUACGCUAAUACCGCAUACGACCUACGGGUGAAAGCAGGGGAUCUUCGGACCUUGCGCGAUUGAAUGAGCCGAUGUCGGAUUAGCUAGUUGGCGGGGUAAAGGCCCACCAAGGCGACGAUCCGUAGCUGGUCUGAGAGGAUGAUCAGCCACACUGGAACUGAGACACGGUCCAGACUCCUACGGGAGGCAGCAGUGGGGAAUAUUGGACAAUGGGCGCAAGCCUGAUCCAGCUAUACCGCGUGGGUGAAGAAGGCCUUCGGGUUGUAAAGCCCUUUUGUUGGGAAAGAAAAGCAGCAGGUUAAUACCCCGCUGUUCUGACGGUACCCAAAGAAUAAGCACCGGCUAACUUCGUGC
rnacentral:rRNA from 1 species